GCUAAUAAUGCACCCAGGGGAGCAGCUGGGCCGGACGCCCUCACAACACCCCGACUUUGCCAGGACAACAGCAGGAGGGGAGAAGAGGCGGCCCAUCGUGGAGUCGGAUGGAGACCCGCUAAACUCCUCCUGGCAAAUGUGGCCCUCGCAAGCCUGGACCAGGGCGUCCAGCAGGUCCUACCCUGGCAAGAGCGACUUGUCUGAUUCCUUCGAUUCCUCCGCCCAUGAGCCUCCCUUGCCAGCCCAGCCGCCCGUCGGGGACGUCCCCCGCAGCUCAGAGACCCAAGAGGCCUCUCCCUUGAAGCCCGUCAGGCGUUUUAUCCCGCGGUCGUGGAAGAACUUUUUCCAAAGAUGGAGGCGAGAGCCCGAGCUGUUCCUGCCGCUGGCCUACACCGCCGCCCAGUGCUCCCCACCCGUAAGUCCGUUGUCAGAUCGCCGCGGGCCAGCCCGCAAUGGCAGCUCCAGCAGCGGUUUCCAGGAACCCUCCUGGUCCAGCCCCUCUGAAUGUAACCAGGAGACAGAGAUGUCUCCCCCCAGGAGCCAGCAGGGCCAGCCCGCCUUGCCAAGCUACGAGGAGAAGCUGGAGGCCUACAACCUCAAGUACUCCUACAUGAAGUCAUGGCCAGGCCUGCUCCGGCUGAUGGCCGGGCUGGAGCUGCUCUUUGGCGGCAUGGUCUUUGCUUGUGUCUGUGCCUACAUCCAGAAGGACUACCAGUGGUACAACCUGUACGGCGGGAACCUGCUGUCAGGCGGCCUUUUGGGGGGAGGCUAUGGGUACAAUUAUUAUGGCCCCAUGACCCCCUUUGUGCUGGUGGUGGCCAGCCUGGCGUGGCUGGUCACGGUCAUCCUCUUGGGGCUGGGGGUCACCAUGUACUAUAGGACCAUCCUCCUCGACUCCCACUGGUGGCCCCUGACAGAGUUCGCCCUGAACAUCAUCAUGUUCCUCCUCUACAUGGGGGCGGCCAUCGCCUAUGUCAACGACGUGAACCGCGGCGGCCUCUGCUACUCCCUGUUUGCCAGCAACCCGCUCAUAGCCGCCUUCUGCCGAGUGGAAGGGGGCCAGGUGGCAGCUAUCACCUUCCUCUUCAUCACCACCCUGCUCUACCUGGCCGGGGCGCUGGUGUGUCUGAAGAUGUGGAGGCACGAGAUGGCGAGGAAGCAGCAGGAGGGCUUUGAACCACUACACAACCCCGUCCUCCUGCAAGCCAGACCCAAGCGGAUCGUCUUCCAGGAUGAGGUGAUGCCGUCCGGGAGCCUCCCGGGGAAGGUCACCAAACAGCUGGGGUUCUCCGAGAAAGGCGAGGCAUCAGGGGCCUUGAGUUGCUCCAUCCCGACGGGACACACCCCAAAGCCACACAUCGUCCCUGACUAUGUUGUGAAGUACCCGGGGAUCUGCUGCCACGAGGAGAGAGAGAAGUACAAGGCCGUCUUCAACGACCAGUACGCAGAGUACAAGGAGCUCUACCACGAGGUCCAUGCGGCGCUGCAGAAGUUCAAGGAGUUGGACGCCAUGAUGAGCCGGCUGCCUCAUCGCAUGGCCAGCAAGAAGGUUAGUUGCUAAGCAGAGGGGGCACAGCACAGGCAGGCUGGAGCAGGGGCUGGGAUGUGGGGCCUCUCACCGCUCAGGAACGUCUUCCUCUCCUGCCUGGCUCAGCAGUAGGGAACGUUUGGUGGAAUGAAUUGAUGGGUCUCAGCUGAUUUCCUACUAGGACAGGAACAACCCACAAAAAACCCACUGGAACUGUUUGGCCCCUUUCUCGCAGUGCUGGCAAAGAGGACCAGGGCUGGAGGGGCUGUGGAGACAGGUAGGGCACCCACCAGGAGCAGAAACAGGUAGAACAAUUUGGCCCAAGACAUAGACUGGUCAGGCUAGAAGCAGCAGAGGGUCGACUGAGCCACCAGGAACAACAAAGGAGCCGCUGCAGCCCUUGUGACGGAGCCGUCCGGAAACUUCCUUGGGAGCGGAGCGACCGAGCUUUGUGUUUCGGGUUCCGCUGGUGCUUCCUUGAGGAAGCCAGUUCAAGUCAAAGCCUUGUGGCCCAUGAACCGACAUUGCUCCUGCUGGGUUCAGUAAUACUCGGAGCAGACGCCCAGGGCUGAUUGAGGAAAGGGGAAGCCGGUCGUCUGCUUUUUCUGCUGGGAUCCAAGCCAACUCCGGGCUUUGCAGGAACAGAGCCGGGUCUCCAACAUCUGGAAGGAAUACAGGCAGAAAAAGAGGG